CCUUCGGGUACAAUUGAGACAGGUGGUGCAUGGUUGUCGUCAGCUCGUGUCGUGAGAUGUUGGGUUAAGUCCCGCAACGAGCGCAACCCUUGUGUUUUAGUGCAAACAGGUCAAGCUGUGCACUCUAGACAGACUGCCGUGGACAACACGGAGGAAGGUGGGGAUGACGUCAAAUCAUCAUGCCCCUUAUGAUCUGGGCUACACACGUGCUACAAUGGCCGGUACAACGGGCAGCGAAGGAGCGAUCCGGAGCGAAUCCUAAAAAGCCGGUCCCAGUUCGGAUUGCAGGCUGAAACUCGCCUACAUGAAGUUGGAGUUGCUAGUAAUCGCGAAUCAGAAUGUCGCGGUGAAUGCGUUCCCGGGUCUU
rnacentral:rRNA from 1 species